GGGCAUUUGAAAUGAUCAGAUAGGGUAAAGCAAUAUGUUAAUUGCUUCACCUUGCCUUCUGAUAGGCUGGAUGCAAUUGUGGCCAUAUUGCUUAUCCCUAUUAAAUCCUUGUGUUUAGAUCAAGGUGUAGGAUUUAGGGGUCAAUUUGGAAAUAGAAAUUGAAUGUAGUUCAGUGGCUGACAGCUGUCCUUAAUUAGCCAACAACAUUAGAAGGGUCUGGGAUUCCUUUAAAAGGAGCAACCAAACAUCUGGCAAAUAUAGUAAAAGGGAUAUUCUGGUAGGAUGUAUGCCUACCAUUAGUGCUGAAUACUGGUGAGGUUUUGAGGGCAAAAUGGCUGUGAUGAUUGGAAUCGCUUUCAGCGUUUCUUGGCUUUGUUGCCUGCUAAUUGGAGGGAUAACGUGUUCUACAUCAGAAGGUGAUUGGUCUCCUGCACUGGAUUCUAAUGCAGCAUGGCUUGACGCAGGAUCACUUCGGUCUCUAGGAUAUGGCAAUUAUAAGUCUCCAAAAUCUCAAAUGCAAGCGCAACAGAAACAUCCGGCCGCCAUCCUGCGGAAGGACUUGGCCCCCAUGUCCCAGCAACCUCAGCAAGUGUGGUAUCCAGUUCAAAUGCUGCAGAAGCAACAGACCGCCGUGCUCCAGCAAGUGGGGCAUCAAGCUCAAAUGCUGCCGCAACCACCGUCCGCCGUGCCCCAGCAAGUGUGGCAUCAAGCUCACAUGCUGAAGCAUAAGCAACCGACCGCUGUACCCCAGGAAGUGUGGCAUCCAGCUCAAAUGCCCCUGCAGCAGAAGGAACCAUCCGCAGAAGCUCAGCCGCAGAGGAAACCGACAACUGUGCCCCAGCAAGUGUGGCAUCAAGCUCACAUGCUGAAGCAGAAGCACCCGCCCGCCGUGUCCCAGCAAGUGUGGAAUCCUGCUCUAAUGCCCCUGCAGCAGAAGAAACCGACUGCCAUGCCCAAGCAAGUGUGGAAUCCAUUUCACACACUGCAGAAGCAACCAACCGCCGUGCCUCAGCAAGUGUGGAAUCCUGCUCUAAUGCCCCUGCAGCAGAAGCAACCGACCACUGUGCCCCAGCAAGUGUGGAAUCCUGCUCUAAUGCCCCUGCAGCAGAAGCAACCAACCGCCGUGCCCCAGCAAGUGUGGAAUCCAGCUCAAAUGCAGCAGAAGCAACCGUCCGCCGUGCCCCAACAAGUGUGGAAUCCUGCUCUAAUGCCCCUGCAGCAGAAGCAACUGACCACUGAACCUGAACAGAAGGAACUGACUGCCAUGCCCCAGCAAAUGUGGUAUGGAGCUAAAAUGCUCCAACCAGAAAAUCAUCUGGCCGCCAUGCCACAGAAGCUACAGGGCUCCAGUCUCCAGCUGCCUCUGUUCGUGUGGCAUCCAUCUCAAUUUCCCCAGCAGCAGAAGGAAGUGGCCGUCGAGCCCCAGCAGCAGAAGGAAGUGGCCGUCGAGCCCCAGCAGCAGAAGGAAGUGGCCGUCGAGCCCCAGCAGCAGAAGGAAG
rnacentral:lncRNA from 13 species